rnacentral:rRNA from 1 species
CCUACGGGGGGCAGCAGUGAGGAAUAUUGGUCAAUGGCCGGAAGGCUGAACCAGCCAUGCCGCGUGAAGGUCAGUGCCCUAUGGGCGUUAAACUUCUUUUGUGCGGGAGCAAUAAUGGUCACGUGUGGCCAGACGAGAGUACCGUACGAAUAAGCAUCGGCUAACUCCGUGCCAGCAGCCGCGGUAAUACGGGGGAUGCAAGCGUUAUCCGGAUUUAUUGGGUUUAAAGGGUGCGUAGGCUGUGAGGUAAGUCAGCGGUGAAAUGCCCCCGCUCAACGGGGUGAAGUGCCAUUGAUACUGCCUGGCUGGAAUGCGGAUGCGGUGGGAGGAAUGUGUGGUGUAGCGGUGAAAUGCAUAGAUAUCACACAGAACACCGAUUGCGAAGGCAUCUCACGAAUCCGCGAUUGACGCUGAUGCACGAAAGCGUGGGUAUCAAACAGGAUUAGAUACCCUUGUAGUC